rnacentral:rRNA from 1 species
GACGAACGCUGGCGGCGUGCUUAACACAUGCAAGUCGAACGGAAAGGCCCUGCUUUUGUGGGGUGCUCGAGUGGCGAACGGGUGAGUAACACGUGAGUAACCUGCCCUUGACUUUGGGAUAACUUCAGGAAACUGGGGCUAAUACCGGAUAGGAGCCCCUGCUGCAUGGUGGGGGUUGGAAAGUUUCGGCGGUUGGGGAUGGACUCGCGGCUUAUCAGCUUGUUGGUGGGGUAGUGGCUUACCAAGGCUUUGACGGGUAGCCGGCCUGAGAGGGUGACCGGCCACAUUGGGACUGAGAUACAGCCCAGACUCCUACGGGAGGCAGCAGUGGGGAAUAUUGCACAAUGGGCGGAAGCCUGAUGCAGCAACGCCGCGUGCGGGAUGACGGCCUUCGGGUUGUAAACCGCUUUCGCCUGUGACGAAGCGUGAGUGACGGUAAUGGGUAAAGAAGCACCGGCUAACUACGUG